GUUCUCAGACCGCAUUGAGCGCGCUGAGGAGAGGUGGGGAAAUUUACAAACGAAAUCAUAUCAACUUACUGUGCUGUUUUCUGAUUCAUCCAGUUUGCUCUGAUCUGACGCUAGAGCGACAAUAAACCCACCAUCAGCAGUACCAGUGGCCUGUCUCAUUAUUGUACACAACGCAGAGAGUGCGAACACCG